CGUCGUCCUGGGAAGCCGCGUUUUUCUUCAGCAAAAAUGCGCUCCUGGAAUUUUUCAUUCCUGGAACUGGAGAGUGUGCUAGCUUCGUAUUUCCGCAAGGAUAAUAUCACGUAUUUUCAUAUUUUGCCUCCUGAUCCGGCAACAACAGGCGGCCGCAGGUAGAGAAAGCAGCUGCGCUUGGAGUGAAUUGAAACUAUCUGGUCCAAUCUGAUCCAAUUUACAAUCUGGUGUUCUUGAAUGAUGAUGAGUGAGCGGAUGGUAUCAAAUAAACUGGUUAACACAUGAGCCAACCU